rnacentral:rRNA from 1 species
AACGAACGCUGGCGGCAUGCCUAACACAUGCCAGUCGAACGAGACCUUCGGGUCUAGUGGCGCACGGGUGCGUAACGCGUGGGAACCUGCCCUUAGGUUCGGAAUAACUCCCCGAAAGGGGUGCUAAUACCGGAUAAUGUCUUCGGACCAAAGAUUUAUCGCCUUUGGAUGGGCCCGCGUUGGAUUAGCUAGUUGGUAGGGUAAAAGCCUACCAAGGCGACGAUCCAUAGCUGGUCUGAGAGGAUGAUCAGCCACACUGGGACUGAGACACGGCCCAGACUCCUACGGGAGGCAGCAGUGGGGAAUAUUGGACAAUGGGCGAAAGCCUGAUCCAGCAAUGCCGCGUGAGUGAUGAAGGCCUUAGGGUUGUAAAGCUCUUUUACCCGGGAUGAUAAUGACAGUACCGGGAGAAUAGGCUCCGGCUAACUCCGUG